rnacentral:lncRNA from 1 species
GAGCUCGCUGAUCGAUUUUCUGUGCUCAACGUGAUGCAAACCGAGAGGUUGCCAAAAUUAAAUUUUCAAGUUUGCUCUUGUUUAAAGGUAAAACUAGGUUCAAUUUAUCAAUUCCAAUGAACUUUAAGCAAGGAAGCAAAAAUUUCAGCAAGACAAAAAUUAAAAUCGAAUUGAAGUAAUACUAAGAUGAUGACAAACCUUCAAUAUAUGAGAUAAUAACAACCAACUGAAAAUACAUAUAAUAGUUCCAAAAGGUAAAUUCGGCUUUAUCGGACAAAGCUUUAGGUUUGGUUGUUUCGCAAAUAUGGUUGGUAAUGAUAGAAGGCUAGAUUAAAAGGGGAUAAUAGAAUGUCAGGAGAUGAGAGAUACAAAAAGUGCACCAUUCACACGAUUGCGGGGGAUCUACGAUCGACGAGGAGGGCGGUACACCAUGGGUAGAACUUCGGCAAUAGGAAAGAAGAAGAUGAGGUAGUGACUCGGAAGAAGAGGAGGGGUAGAAGUAGAAGCCGAUCUUGUCACGAGGAAGAAGUGACAACGAUCAAGUUGAGGAAGAAGACGAUCUCGGCGGGAGGAAGAAGCGUCGAUGAUCUCGCCGGAAAGUAGAACACCAAGGAUAAAGAGUGAGAGUAAAAUUUUCUAUUCAUCCAAAUAUAUCUCCCUUAAGGUCUCAAGAACCAUGUAUUUAUAGUGUUGAGAGCCCUCCUAUAAUAAAUUAUUGUCUUUUCGUUUUCAACAUAACACGGUCACCUGAGAGUCAUGCAUAGAAAAUGAAGCAAUUUUGAAAACUUCAAAGGUCUUAUUUUGGGGAAUUCCAAAGGCCUUUUUUGGGAUUAUUUUCUUGUUUAUUGGAGAAAAGGGUUUGGGUUAGUGAAAUCAACUAAAACUAAAUGAUUUAAGUCCAAAUCAAACACGAACCUACAAAAUAAAAGAAAAUUGCAUUAAAAAAUAAAAUGAGGUUUAUUUGCUGCAUCAGUUACCCUCGAGUUGGGAAAAUCUCGACUCCGUCAAGAUGGCAUCUUGAUAGCUCUGGUAUAAGUCCUCUCGAAGUUGGCGUAACUCUGCCUCAGAAAUCCAACUGCUAUUGGACAAUGGUCGUCCACGCCAACGCACCAAGUAUCGGUGAUGAGUACCAUGUCGCAUCGCAGACUCGCGCACAUCCAGAAUAUCCUCCACACCAUCUAUUGGAGUGAGAUGUCAAGCCAUCAAUAUCGACAGUAGAGGGAGCCUCUCCAUGAUACUCGUACAGCUCGCUAACAUUGAAGAUCGGGGACAUCGGUACUUCUGGGGGUAGAUCAAUUAGAUAAGCGUUUUUCCCUAACUUCUUCAGAAUUUUGAAUGGUCCGUACUUUUUCUUGUUCAACUUGCUAUAGCCUCCAACUUUGGAACCUUUCUUUCCUAAAAUAGAUCAAGACAUUAUCUCCUUCAUUAAAAGUCAUACCUCGGCAAUGUUUAUUCGCUGACUCCUUGUACUUGACAGUGGAAUCCCGCAACCUCUGAUGAACUUGUUGUUGCUCCUCUUGAAACUAUUUUAGGUAAUAGUCGGCAUCUGCACUAACUCUACCAGGGUAAGGUAUUGGUGCUCGGUCAAGAAAGUGGGCAGUAGGACGGCCAUAUAAAGCUUCAAAAGGAGAUUUUCCAAUGGUUCGGUUUACGGAACUGUUAUAAGCAAAUCCAGCUUGAGGUAAAAUUAAAUCCUAUUGUGUUGGUUUUUCUCUAGCUAAACAUCUUAAGAGAUUACCCAAAGAUUGAUUUACUAUUUUCGUUUGCCCGUCAAUUUGUGGAUGGUAUGGGCUGCUGAAAUUCAAUUUGCUUCCUACCUUUGACAUUAAAGUUCUCCAAAAAUGACUAACAAAUUUUGUAUCUCGGUCAGAGGUAAUUGAUUUAGGAAUGCCAUGUAAAUGUACAAUUUCAUUGAAAAAUAGUUUUGCAAUAUAUGAUGCAUCAGAAGUUUUCUUGCAAGGAAUAAAAUGAGCCAUCUUCGUAAAACGAUCAACAACCACAAAAACUGAAUCAACUUGGCAUGCAGUCUUGGGUAAGCCUAGGAUAAUUUUCCAAUGACUGGUCGCAAGACUUGUGCUAUAAAUCAGAAUGUCGUCGAAGUAAACUAUGACAAAUUUUCCAAUGAAUGGUUGCAAGACUUGGUUCAUAGAGUGCAUGAAAGUACUAGGGGCAUUGGAUAGCCCAAACGGCAUAACUAGCCACUCGUAUAAUCCUUCUUUAGUUUUAAACGCUGUUUUCCAUUCAUCUCCAGGUCGAAUACGGAUUUGAUGAUAUUAGCUCUUAAGGUCAAUCUUAGAGAAUAUCUUCGCACCACCUAACAUGUCAAGCAUAUCAUCAAUCCUAGGAAUGGGAAACCUAUACUUGAUGGUAAUUUUGUUAACUGCACGACUGUCAACACACAUUCGCCAUGUUCCAUCCUUUUUUGGUGUAAGGAGGGCAGGCACCGCGACAAGGCUCAUACAUUCUCUAAUGUAAUUUUUUUUGCAGAAGUUCAGAGACCUACCUAUGUAACUCUUCAUGUUCAAUAGGACUCAUCCUGUAAUGGGCUAGGUGUGGAAGGCUAGCACCGGGUACAAAAUCAAUGUAGUGUUGGAUGUCUCUCAUAGGUGGAAGGCCAUCGGGGAGUUCCUCAGGCAUGAUAUCAAAAAAUUCAUUGAGCAAUGGUUGAACAGCUUGAGGAACUUCAGUGUUCUUUGAUUUUUCUUUUGCCAAAGGAAUAUAUACCACUGGAGACUUUGCUAGAUCUUUAGAGAAUUGGCUUUUGUUCAAAACCAUCAUUUUCUGCUCAUUAUUGGAAGGUUGCUUUUGAGACUCAAUUGGCUUAGAUUUUGGUUUAAGAAAGUAAUUUAGGAAAACCAAUCUAACUUUCUUGUUGUCCUUUGUGACAAUAUAAGUGUUCUCCCUACCACCAUGUAUAGUGCUACGAUCAAAUUGCCAAGGUCUAUCUAACAAUAGGUGACUCACAUCUAUGGGAACAACAUCACACCAAACUUUAUCAGCGUAAGUUUUCCUAAUAGAAAAUUCAACAAGACGUCUUUCAAUUAUAGGAAAUUCAUCCCUAUCCUUAAACCAAGCUAUUUUGUAAGGUAGAGCAAGUUUUUCAGUUUUCAAUUUAAGUUUAUCAACCAUUUUUCUAGAGACAAAGUUUUCAGUACUUCCACUAUCAAUGACCAGAGAGCAAAACUUGCCUCCCGCGCUACAAAUGGUUCUGAAAAGGCUACGACGCUUCCAAUCAUCUUGGGUGGACUUAGAGGUUGAUAGGACUCGAUGGAUCAUGAGAUUUGUUUCAGUAGCAUCAGGAGAUUCUUCAGAAAUCUCAUCAACAUCUUCUUGUUCUAAAGUUUCUUCCCCAUUUUCAUUUUCUUCAUGACUUUUUAUUAGAUUGGCUCUAGAAUCAAACUUUCUCAGAGGGCAAUCAGAGGAUUUAUGUCCAGGUUUGUUACAUUUAUAACAAAUGAUGCCAGAUUCAGCGGAUUUUGCACCUAAAAUUCCUUUGCCUUUAAGGUCUUGAACAAGUCUUGAAGAGGUUUGACUAUCGUUCUUUGGGAUAGGCUUAGUUCCUAUGGUGUUCUUUACGCUCGCACUUCCCUGACGAAAGGUUUGUCUUUUAAGUUUAUUUUCAGCCUUAAGUGCAUGACUAUAAGCCAUGUCGACCUUGUAGAAAGUUAAAAGGGCUAACUCAUCUUGGAUUUGGGUUCGAAGACCGGCUAGAUAGCGAGCUAUUCGCUGUUCUUCGUCAUCUUUAAGUUCAUUACGAGCUUGAAGGGUGUAAAAUUCUUCAGUAUAUUCUUAUACCGAUUUAGACUCUUGUUUAAGAUUGUAAUUUUUGAAAAAUAGUUUGACGAUAAUCAAUCGGUAAGAAUUUUCCUUUAAGUUUUUCUUUCAUUCUUUCCCACGAGGCAAUCUUUUCUUUACCCUUUCUAACCCUAUCAUUUUGAACUUGUUUCCACCAUACUAAGGCAUGUCUUUUUAAUUUAAGGGAGACAAAUUUAACUUUUUUGUCAUCAGGUAAUUAUUUCCAUUCAAAAAAUUGUUCUAUUUUGUCUAGCCAAUCCACAAAAUCUUUAGGUUGUAAUUUACCUCGAACUCACUCACGUUCAUUUUAAUGCCCUGAUCCCAUCGAUGUAUAUUUUCUUGAGUUUGAAAAAGAGGAUUUCUUCUAGCAGGUAAAGUACGAUUGUCAAAAUCAGGGUCACUUUCCGAAUCUUCUCCAACUGAAGUUUGUUGUUGCAUAGUUAAUCUUUCCAAUAGUUGUUGAAUGUUAUUCAUUUGAUUUUGCAUGCUUUUCAUGGAAUCUUGUUUUUUCUCAUAUGCUUCUCUCCAAUCACGAGGAUUUUCACGACUGUCUGCCAUACCAAAUGCUUACAAGUUGAUCAAAAAGUGAUACUUUUUUUUUUUGAAAUAUUUUGGCCCAAAGUUGAAUACCAAGAAAAAGUUGUUUAGAUUAAAACAAACACUCCCAGGAAAAGAACUUGCUCUGAUACCAAUUGAUGCAAACCGAGAGGUUGUCAAAAUUGAAUUUUCAAGUUUGCUUUUGUUUAAAGGUAAAUCUAGGUUCAAUUUAUCAAUUCCGAUAAACUUUAAGCAAGGAAGCAAAAAUUUCAGCAAGACAAAAAUUAAAAUCGAAUUGAAGUAAUACUAAGAUGAUGACAAACCUUCAAUAUAUGAGAUAAUAACAACCAACUGAAAAUACAUAUAAUAGUUCCAAAAGGUAAAUUCGGCUUUAUCGGACAAAGCUUUAGGUUUGGUUGUUUGGCAAAUGUGGUUAGUAAUGGUAGAAGGCUAGAUUAAAAGGGGAUAAUAGGAUGUCAGGAGAUGAGAGAUAUAAAAAGUGCACCGUUCACACGAUUGCGGGGGAUCCACAAUCGACGAGGAGGGCGGUACACCACGGGUAGAAUUUCGGCAACAAGGAAGAAGAAGAUGAGGUAGUGACUCAGAAGAAGAGGAGGGGUAGAAGUAGAAGCCGAUCUUGUCACGAGGAAGAAGCGACAACGAUCAAGUUGAGGAAGAAGACGAUCUCGGCGCGAGGAAGAAGCGUCGAUGAUCUCGCCGGAAAGUAGAACACCAAGGAUAAAGAGUGAGAGUAGAAUUUCCUAUUCAUCCAAAUAUAUCUCCCUUAAGAUCUCAAGAACCAUAUAUUUAUAGUGUUGAGAGCCCUUCUAUAAUAAAUUAUUAUCUUUUCGUUUUCAACAUAACAUGGUCACCUAAGAGUCAUGCAUAGAAAACGAAGCAAUUUUGGGAACUUCAAAGGUCUUAUUUUGGGAAAUU